CUGCCCGUAGCUCAGCUGGAUAAGAGCAUCGGCCUUCUAAGCCGAGGGUCCCCGGUUCGAAUCCGGGCGGGCAGGCCA
rnacentral:tRNA from 1 species